GGAUGUGAGGGCAAUUUAGUUAGGUUAUCUGUCACCCCAUUGAUUGCCAGGGUUGAUUCUGCUGAUCUGGCUGGCUAGGCAGGUGUCCCCUUUCUCCCUCACCAGUCCAUGUGUGUCCCUCUCAAAACUGAGCACUCAAUCGAUUAGGACAACCUUCCCUCAACAGAGGACAACUGUACUUCUGUCACAGGUAUAUGAGUAGCUGCACUGCCAUGCUAGAACCUCCAAACAGGAUCUCAAGGUCCAUUUUUAGAAGAGCAUGUGGUAGUCAAGCUUGCAAGAUUCGAGACACAUCCAAAUGAGGUGGUAAAUAUGCCAGUCUGCCUGUCUUG
rnacentral:snRNA from 1 species